UAAUAUCGCAGGCAAAAACGGGCUGUAUACUCGCACAAUCUAAUUAACGUUUAAGCGGCGUUCUCCGUCGCAGACUGCGAG
rnacentral:sRNA from 12 species